UACAGAGAGUGCAAGCGUUAAUCGGAAUUACUGGGCGUAAAGCGCACGUAGGUGGAUGCUUAAGUCGGAUGUGAAAUCCCCGAGCUUAACUUGGGAAUUGCAUUCGAUACUGGGCGUCUAGAAUAUAGUAGAGGGAAGUGGAAUUUCUGGUGUAGCGGUGAAAUGCGUAGAUAUCAGAAGGAACAUCAGUGGCGAAAGCGGCUUCCUGGACUAAUAUUGACACUUAGGUGCGAAAGCGUGGGGAGCAAACAGG
rnacentral:rRNA from 1 species